rnacentral:rRNA from 1 species
UACGUAGGGUGCGAGCGUGUCCGGAAUUAUUGGGCGUAAAAGAGCUCGUAGGCGGUUUUGUCGCGUCUGCUGUGAAAUCCCGAGGCUCAACCUCGGGCCGCAGUGGGUACGGGCAGACUGGAGUGCGGGUAGGGGAGAAUGGAAUCCUGGUGUAGCGGUGGAAUGCGCAGAUAUCAGGAGGAACACCGAUGGGCGAAGGCAGUUCUCUGGGCCGUAACUGACGCUGAGGAGCGAAAGCGUGGGGAGCGAACAGG